rnacentral:lncRNA from 1 species
GCAACAAGAUGGCGAGCCUGCCGGGCGGGACUCACGGGCUGUACCCUGAGGCGCUGAGCCCCGAGCAGCUGGAGCAGCUGCGCGGCUAUAAGAUUCAGAUUCGGAUUACUAAUGAAAAGUACCUAAGGACCCACAAAGAAGUGGAGUUGCUCGUAAGUGGUUUCUUCAGGGUCUGAACAUUAGAAAACAGCCUAAGAUUAGAUUUUUUUUCUAAUGCUGAGGUUUGGGACUCCCGUGGUUUUCUUGUUAUUGCUAGUGAUUUCCUUGUUAUCUCCAAAUUCUCAAAAAUAUCAAUAUUCAUUCUCUUUAGCUAUAAGGACAAAUAUAUACCUCCUGACACUUAGAAGAGGGAAUUCGUCAUUAAGAAACUCAGCAGGCAGUCAUUGGGUGUAAAGACUUCUCGCUGUCAGAGGCAUUUAACAAGAUCACUAGAACUUUUAAAAAAUUCCCAUAUCUUGGGAGUUCCUGUCGUGGCUCAGUGGUUAAUGAGUCCGACUAGGAACCAUGAGGUUUCGGGUUUGAUCCCCGGCCUUGCUCAGUGGGUUAAGGAUCCAGCAUUGCCGUGAGCUGUGGUGUAGGUCGAAGACGAGGCUUGGAUCCUGCGUUGCUGUGGCUGUGGUGUAGGCCGGCAGCUACAGCUCCGAUUAGACCCCUAGCCUGGGAACCCCCAUAUGCUAGGCAAAAAGGCAAAAAAGGAGUUCCCGUCGUGGCGCAGUGGUUAACUAAUCCGACUAGGAACCAUGAGGUUGCAGGUUCGAUCCCUGCCCUUGCUCAGUGGGUUAACAAUCCGGCGUUGCCAUGAGCUGUGGUGUAGGUUGCUGUGGCUCUGGCGUAGGCCGGUGGCUACAGCUCCGAUUCCACCCCUAGCCUGGGAACCUCCAUAUGCCGCGGGAGCGGCCCAAGAAACAGCAACAACAACAACAACAACAAAAGACAAAAAGGCAAAAAAAAAAAAAAAAAAAAAAAAAG